rnacentral:tRNA from 1 species
AAGUAAUGAAGUAAAACUUUACAUUUAGUUUCGACCUAAAAUUAGGGUUAUCCCCUUACUUA